UCAGACGGCCGGGCGGUCGCGGCGGGGGUUAUGCCCGCGUCGAGGAAAGUCCGGGCUCCACGGUGAAAAGGCGGCGGGUAACUCCCGCCCGGGGCGACCCGAGGGAUAGCGCCACAGAAAGCAAACCUCCGGCCUUGCGAGGCCGGUAAGGGUGAAAGGGUGGGGUAAGAGCCCACCGCGUGCCUGGCAACAGGGACGGCAUGGCAAGCCCCGCCUGGAGCAAGACCGAAUAGGGACGUCGCGCGGUUUCGGCCGCAGGGUUCAUCGCCCGAGGCGUCCGGGUAGGUCGCGAGAACCGUUCAGCAAUGGGCGGUCCAGAGGAAUGAUCGUCGCCCGCUUCGGCGGGAACAGAACCCGGCUUACAGGCCGUCUGACAUU
rnacentral:RNase_P_RNA from 1 species